AACGGCGAGUGAAGCGGCAAUAGCUCAAAUUUGAAAUCAGGCUCUUUUAGAGUCCGAGUUGUAAUUGGUAGAGGAUGUUUCGGCUUACGCCCCGGUCUAAGUUCCUUGGAACAGGACGUCACAGAGGGUGAGAAUCCCGUUUGUGGCCGGCGGCUUCUGCCAUGUGAAGCUCCUUCGACGAGUCGAGUUGUUUGGGAAUGCAGCUCUAAAUGGGAGGUAUAUUUCUUCUAAAGCUAAAUACCGGCCAGAGACCGAUAGCGCACAAGUAGAGUGAUCGAAAGAUGAAAAGCACUUUGGAAAGAGAGUUAAAAAGUACGUGAAAUUGUUGAAAGGGAAGCGCUUGCGACCAGACUUGCCCGCGGAUGCUCAACCGGUCCUUCGGCCGGUGCACUCUUCCGCGGUCAGGCCAGCAUCAGUUUAGGCGGUUGGAUAAAGGCCUUGGGAAUGUAUCUCCUCUAGGGGAGUGUUAUAGCCCUUGGUGCAAUACAACCUGCCUGGACUGAGGCCCGCGCUUCGGCUAGGAUGCUGGCGUAAUGGUCGUAAGCGGCCCGUCUUGAAACACGGACC
rnacentral:rRNA from 1 species